UCUGGCCCGCCGAAAAACACGUGUUCGCAGAGCCAGACUGUAACACUCGGGCCUUCUGGAGGGAUGCCAAGGUUAAUAGUAGCAGCAGGUUUGUCUCACCUACCUGAUUUGCGACCAAAUCAUGGGAGGUGCGAUCAAUCGGUGAGUGACAGAAUACACGCCGAGCCAUUUAUUACGUGAAUGACCAUUUUUAAAAUUCUGAAGUUUCUCUAUCCUAAUUAGAAAUUAUGGAAGCAGAAUACCAAUGAUGAAUGACUUUGACAGAAUAUCAAUUACAAUGACUUCUGCCACAUUGCUGCAUUUCCUCCAGGAUCAAAACUGAUGUCAGAAAAAAUAUGUUAACAAGAAUUAGGUAGAUAAGUGGAGUGAGCGCUAAAAUCCACCAUGUGCGAUUCAGCAGAGGACUGUUUGCGCAAAUAUUGAUUCAAGUUCUGGAGAUUAGAGCGUAUCCUUGAAAGUGGGUGUCAUAAUAUGGAGGUCACCACACCCUAGUCACUGGGUGGACCGCAAUACCUUGAAAAAAAUUAGAAGUAGUCCGUACCCUGGAAAAGUCUGCCCACCCCUGAUGUUGGAGCAUCAAUAAAUUUUGGAUAAAAUCUGUCAAACAAAGAAUGUCAGUCAAUCUACUUAGGCUUAUGAGAACACAAUGUGCCAAAGGAAUGAAACUUAACACGAAAUAUUUACAUUCAAAAUUGUUGGUAUGUAACAGUCUUACACUAAACAGGUCAAAGGAUAUUAUUUCAAAAUGUAUAAUUGACCCCAAACGUGCAAACUAUAAAAAGA